GCUUUGGUGGGGUAGUGGUAACCUGGGUCGUUGCCAUGAUUAAGGUUGUUCUAGUUCACUUAAUCGACCCGCCGGGGGUUCGAUUCCCUCCCAAAGCA